rnacentral:rRNA from 1 species
AGAGGGUGCGAGCGUUAAUCGGGAUUUACUGGGGCGUAAAGCGUGCGUAGGCGGCUUUUUAAGUCGGAUGUGAAAUCCCUGAGCUUAACUUAGGGAAUUGCAUUCGAUACUGGGAAGCUAGAGUAUGGGAGAGGAUGGUAGAAUUCCAGGUGUAGCGGUGAAAUGCGUAGAGAUCUGGAGGAAUACCGAUGGCGAAGGCAGCCAUCUGGCCUAAUACUGACGCUGAGGUACGAAAGCAUGGGGAGCAAACAGGAUUAGAUACCCUGGUAGUCCAUGCCGUAAACGAUGUCUACUAGCCGUUGGGGCCUUUGAGGCUUUAGUGGUGCAGCUAACGCGAUAAGUAGACCGCCUGGGGAGUACGGUCGCAAGACUA